UUGCCCAUAUCCUGUAGUGGGGGGGGGGGGGAUUGGGGAGGGGGGAUGAGUUGCCCCUGUUGUUCCUGAGUACCAGUGUACUAAAGGUGUGAGGUGCGUGGAGACGCUCUGAGGAAAGGCCAAGAUCAAAUCUAUUAUUGAUCUGGGCCUUAUUAAAUCAGACAUAGAAACCCCACCAGAAAAACUGCACAAAUGAAUAGAAGAAUUGCACAAAUUUUCACAAGACCUCUAAAGGUAUUUUGUGGUAUCUGGCUCCGAGAUAUUGGCAGAAUUUGUGCAGUGUGGCAGAGAGUAUUAUCUGCUGUAAGAAGCCACUGCUAUUAAGGAAUUCCAUUGCCCAUAAAGGAUACUUAGACAGUAUCAGGGCCUAGGAGGAGCGCUAAUUUGCAAGUUUAUUUCAGGAGUGGAGCUGUGGCCGGUAACCUAGGCAAUGAGCAAACAAUAAUUGGAGGAAAAAAAUGCCAAUGGAAAAAGAUCCAACUCGGGUUUGGUAACAUGAAGUCAGACAGCAGCUCAUCCAAUCAGUAGCUCAAGGCAGGAAAUGGUUGUGGACAUAUGAUGUCACCAAACCCGGAAGCACUGGACACCAGAAAGCAGCGUUUGGUGAUUCCGGUGGGGAGUUGGAGAGAGGAAGAUUGUUCGGGUGAGGCUUACAUGAGCGAUGCAGAAUAUUGGCCAUCAGAAUAGCAAGGCCGAAUUGGUUGCAUGGGAAGAUAAAUGACCGGGGAUGGGAGCUAUGUUAUUAUCGAGGACUGAGGCAGCCAGUAAAUUGGAGACCAGAGAAGAUUAUUGUGAACAAUAGUGAUAAUAAACACUUAACACACAGGCAGCAGAAGAGUAAAUGCAGCCGAUGCAGACUCCAAGCAUCACUCACCAGGCAAAGACAGCGGCCAUUAUUCUUGUGCUACCCGUCACGCGAGGAUUACAUUAACUUCGGUUCACUUUCUAUCACCUCACUACUUACCGCUUCUUGCUGAUUAUGUAGAAAGACAAAGAAUAGAAUGAACAGGAAAGGAAAACAAGGUAACAAUGUCUGGAUACAUUUGCGGCAAUACACAUAUUAACUUAUCUGUCUGCAGCAAAUCAAAUCUCACCUCGGUAAAUUUUGGGUAAUGUGCAAACAUAAUUAAACUAGGUGACAUAUUUGUGGCUCUCUGGGAUUUUUAAUUAUGUUACAAUAUCGAUGUGCCAAAAUUAGGGUUCUGUCAGUGUCCCCACCCUCCCCUGAGCGCCUGGCUUUGCAGUAUCCAGAAAAGCGACAUUCAUCAACAUUUAUACAAUGACUGCCCUGCAGUACUGAGGUGUAGCACAUUUUUUCUGGGUACUACAGUGCACCAUGACAAACACCAGCCAGUGUUGCUGCCCCUUUGAUCUUUUAUAAGAGUGGGUACUGAGAAUCAGACAAUUUAAAG